rnacentral:rRNA from 1 species
GCUUAAAGGGGCCGUAGCUUGAUAAUAGGGUCCCUUGAGAAAUCCGCCGGCUUAACUGGCGGGCGUUCAGGGGAAACUUGUUUUCUAGGGACCGGGAGAGGUGAGGGGUACUGCCGGGGUAGGAGUGAAAUCCUGUAAUCCCGGUGGGACCACCUAUGGCGAAGGCAUCUCACCAGAACGGGUCCGACAGUGAGGGACGAAAGCUGGGGGAGCAAACCGGAUUAGAUACCCGGGUAGUCCCAGCUGUAAACUAUGUGCGUUAGGUGUGUCAGUGACCACGUGUCACUGAGGUGCCGAAGGGAAACCGUGAAACGCACCGCCUGGGGAGUACGGUCGCAAGGCUGAAACUUAAAGGAAUUGGCGGGGGAGCACCACAACGGGUGGAGCCUGCGGUUUAAUCGGACUCAACGCCGGGAAUCUCACCGGAUAAGACAGCUGAAUGAUAGUCGGGAUGAAGACUCUACUUGACUAGCUGAGAGGAGGUGCAUGGCCGUCGUCAGUUCGUACUGUGAAGCAUCCUGUUUAGUCAGGCAACGAGCGAGACCCACGCGAGCAGUUGCCAGCUUGACCUUCGGGUUGAUGGGGACACUGCUCGGACCGCCUCUGCUAAAGGGGAGGAAGGACUGGGCAACGGUAGGUCAGCAUGCCCCGAAUUAUCCGGGCUACACGCGGGCUACAAUGGACAGGACAAUGAGUUUCGACACCGAGAGGUGAGGAUAAUCUUCUAACCCUGUCCCAAGUUCGGAUUGCGGGUUGUAACUCACCCGCAUGAAGCUGGAAUCCGUAGUAAUCGCGUUUCAACAUACCGCGGUGAAUAUGUCCCUGCUCCUUGCACACACCGCC